UUAAGGCUAAUCAUGUGAACUAAAACAAAUGUUGAACUAUUUUGAUAAGGUUUACAAAGCCAGCAGUGGCCUCAAGAUUGCUGUUGAACUUUGUGGUGAGCUAAAACUGAUUAAUUGUGCAUAAUAAUUUCUAGUAGCAGUAAUUGAACUAUUUUGGUCGCUGAUCUCAAAAGAGGUUAAGGCUAAUCACCCAAUGAUUAUCAGGUGAAUUUCCUGGUUAUAUGAUUCAAACUGCAUCCUUUCUAGGUCAUUAAUUCUCAAGCAUCGAUCCCUUGUUUCUUAAUUUCAGCUUGCUGGGGUUGUUGCGGUUGAAGUCACAGGAGGGCCAACCAUCGACUUUGUUCCAGGAAGAAUGGAUUGCGCAGAUUCUCCUGAUGAAGGACGCCUUCCUGAUGCAAAUCAAGGUGCCGGACAUUUGAGAGAAAUCUUUUACAGAAUGGGGCUUUCUGACAAGGAUAUUGUCGCGCUUUCAGGAGGCCACACUCUGGUAUAUUUAUCACCAUUUGAUGGGACAUGAAGUCGAGAUGCAGGUGGUUUGAAAUACUUUGCCUCGUCGAUUUGGCGCUCCAGGUCUUCCAGAGUUGAAUGCAUCUCAGCUACAAUAAUCGGGCAAUUAUGGAGGCUGCUCAAGUACUGCUUUAUUUCGGAGUUGAACAAAUCAUCUAUGUUUCUGAAAUGACGCACU